GAGAAAUACAAUAAGGGCGAAUGGAGGAUGCCUAGGCUUUUGGAGGCGACGAAGGACGCGGCAAGCUGCGAAAAGCUGCGGGGAUUGGCAAACACGAGCAGAUCCGCAGAUGUC
rnacentral:rRNA from 1 species